rnacentral:lncRNA from 1 species
GCGGAAGGCGUCGCGCUGGCUACUCUGGUACCCCCAGGACGGGGCAAGUCUCAGUGAGGAGGCAGGGUCUCCACGCACUGGAAUAGUGUCAAACCACACACAAGGGCACAGAACCCAGGGACCCAGGGCGGCUGAGACACGCAGCUGGUGAUGGCCCUCAGGAUGGUGUCAACCAGUAUGUAAUCACUUUCCACAGGGCACCAACUGGACAGAGGCCUCCGGUCAGCCUCACUCUGACUGCAACCCCCUCUCACUAGACAGCAUCACCUGGACACAGAGCCUCACCUAGUCUGUGUCCCAUGGACACAACUUUGCUUUGGACAGUGACACCAAGAAUACUCACCCCUUUACUUAGCCAGACCACAGGCAGCCACCUGGACACAAACAUCUCUCCAGAGUCACCCUCCACAUAGACUCCACAGCAGAACUCCCAGGGAGGCACUGGGGCAUGGCUUCAGAGCACCAGGCAGCCCUCCGCGGUGCCCAGCACCCGCU